UACGAAGGGGGCUAGCGUUGCUCGGAAUCACUGGGCGUAAAGCGCACGUAGGCGGCUUUUUAAGUCAGGGGUGAAAUCCUGGAGCUCAACUCCAGAACUGCCUUUGAUACUGAGAAGCUUGAGUCCGGGAGAGGUGAGUGGAACUGCGAGUGUAGAGGUGAAAUUCGUAGAUAUUCGCAAGAACACCAGUGGCGAAGGCGGCUCACUGGCCCGGUACUGACGCUGAGGUGCGAAAGCGGUGGG
rnacentral:rRNA from 1 species